rnacentral:rRNA from 1 species
AUUGAACGCUGGCGGCAGGCCUAACACAUGCAAGUCGAGCGAGCGGCGGACGGGUGAGUAAUGCCUAGGAAAUUGCCCUGAUGUGGGGGAUAACCAUUGGAAACGAUGGCUAAUACCGCAUGCGUCAGGAUAUCCUAGGUGGGAUUAACUAGGUGGUGAGGUAAUGGCUCACCAAGGCGACGAUCCCUAGCUGGUCUGGGAGGGUGAUCAGCCAGACUGGAAGUGAGACACGGCCCCACCUCCUACGGGAGGCAGCAGUGGGGAAUAUUGCACGAUGGGCGGAAGCCUGAUGCAGCAAGGCCGCGUGUGUGAAGAAGGCCUGCGGGUUGUAAAGCACUUUAAGUUGGGAGGCGUUACCGACAGAAUAAGCACCGGCUAACUCUGUGCCAGCAGCCGCGGUAAUAC